UCCGAGAGGUACGCCACAUAAAAAAAUCAUAAUUUUUGAAGACUUGUAAACAGGUUAAACAGGUCACCAAAAACAGCCUAUUUUCAGUGAUACGAAACUUGAUUGUUGAUAUUAUAAAUUAUGCCCACAAUGUUCAUAUGUUGAAAUUAUGAAUCAAACGCGUAAUUUCCUAGUUCGACUAAUUAUGUGUGAUGUGGGGUAAUACAAAUUUUAAUUAUGAAGUCGAUUUAGCUUAUAUGCACAUAUCAUAUAAUUAAGGGUAGUUAACUUUUGAAGAGUUAAACUAACCAUGGACGGAGUCGAAUAGUAGUUUUGACAUAGAAAACACGUAAGGUGGAAUAGUCGUGGUUAUAAUGACUAAUCUAACCACCUUGUGAAUUAUGAUGAUAGUUUGACUCUUGACAAGCUAGAUGGAGGCUUGGAAUGAAGCGGGUCAAACGGAGCAAGUACGAAAAGGAAAGCGUAAUUUGGAUGCGAGUCUUAGGUACUCAAGGAUUAUGGGUGACGAUCAAGCAACUUUUGAAGGACCGAACACAUACUCUUGAAGCUUCCGCAUAAAUCAACUCGGUUUAAACAACGUUUAUGAUGUAAACUGUUUGCUAAACAACUUUUGAAAUGUUUAAACGACGUACUCAAUUAUGUUAUGUUGUAUUAUUUUAAAAUUGUAAAGUUUAAACAAACCCGUAUUUUUACAAAGUAUAUGUAGUCAUAAUUACAUGUUGUUUGUCGUA